rnacentral:rRNA from 1 species
UUAAUUCGACGUAACGGAAAGCCCCUUCCCGUUUUCUUGACAUCCAGGGAAUUGGGCAGAGAUGCCUUAGUGCUUUGGGGAACCGUGAGACAGGUGCUGCAUGGCUGUCGUCAGCUCGUGUUGUGAAAUGUUGGGUUAAGUCCCGCAACGAGCGCAACCCUUAUCCUUUGUUGCCAGCGAUUCGGUCGGGAACUCAAAGGAGACUGCCGGUGAUAAACCGGAGGAAGGUGGGGAUGACGUCAAGUCAUCAUGGCCCUUACGAGCAGGGCUACACACGUGCUACAAUGGCGCAUACAAAGAGAAGCGACCUCGCGAGAGCAAGCGGACCUCACAAAGUGCGUCGUAGUCCGGAUCGGAGUCUGCAACUCGACUCCGUGAAGUCGGAAUCGCUAGUAAUCGUGGAUCAGAAUGCCACGGUGAAUACGUUCCCGGGCCUUGUACACACCGCCCGUCACACCAUGGGAGUGGGUUGCAAAAGAAGUAGGUAGCUUAACCUUCGGGA